rnacentral:sRNA from 1 species
GUGGCCGGCCCGCCCCUCCCCGGGCAUUGGCGGCUGCUCGCUGCCUCGCUGCUCGCUCCGAGCCUAGAGCCGGCAGCUCGGGAGGUCGGCCCGCCCCCUCAAAGGCUCCGGGCGGGCCCGGGACCUGGAGGGCCCGAGCUAGCGGGGGCGAGCGGUCCGGAGGUCCGGUUUCGGCGGCUGCAUGUUGUGCCUGGGUCAGUCCACCUUCCUUCGCUUUAACCACCCGGCUGAAGCCAAGUGGAUGAAAAGCAUGAUUCCAGCAGGGGGCCGAGCCCCUGGGCCCCCCUAUAGCCCUGUUCCUGCAGAAUCAGAAAGUCUGGUAAAUGGGAACCACACCCCACAGACUGCAACACGGGGACCCUCUGCCUGUGCCAGCCACAGUUCCCUGGUGAGCUCUAUUGAGAAGGACCUGCAAGAGAUCAUGGACUCACUGGUGCUAGAGGAGCCUGGAGCUGCUGGCAAGAAGCCUGCCGCAACCUCUCCACUGUCGCCGAUGGCUAAUGGUGGGCGCUACCUGCUGUCUCCCCCAACCAGCCCCGGCGCCAUGUCUGUGGGCUCCAGCUAUGAGAACACCUCUCCAGCCUUCUCUCC